AUGCUUGCUGCAACAGCACAUACACUAAAAUUGGAACUAUACAGAGAAGAUUUCCAAGGCCCCUGCACAAGGAUGACACACAAAUUCCUGAAGUGUUUUGUAUUAAA
rnacentral:snRNA from 1 species